GUUGUAAUCUACAGAGGGUGUUUCGGGCAUAGUUCUGGUUUAAGUUCCUUGGAACAGGACGUCAUAGAGGGUGAGAACCCCGUCUGCAACUAGUAACUCAACCCAUGUGAAACCCCUUCGACGAGUCGAGUUGUUUGGGAAUGCAGCUCUAAAUGGGUGGUAAAUUUCAUCUAAAGCUAAAUAUUGGCCGGAGACCGAUAGCGCACAAGUAGAGUGAUCGAAAGAUGAAAAGCACUUUGGAAAGAGAGUUAAAUAGUACGUGAAAUUGUUGAAAGGGAAGCGCUUGCGGCCAGACCUGUGCGUAGGUGAUCAGUUGGUAUUUUUAUCAAUGUACUCCCCUACAGCCAGGCCAGCAUCGGUUUCGGCGGCGGGACAAAAGCGUGGAGAAUGUAACUCUCUCUUGGGUGAGUACUUAUAGCUCGUCAUGAAAUGCCGCCAGUCGAGACCGAGGACCGCGCUUCGGCUAGGAUGCUGGCGUAAUGGUUGCAAGCGACCCGUCUUGAAACACGGACCAAGGAGUCUAACAUCUAUGCGAGUGUUUGGGUGUCAAACCCAGGCGCGGAAUGAAAGUGAACGGAGAUGAGAACUCUUUAAGGGGGUGCACCAUCGACCGAUCCUGAUGUCUUCGGAUGGAUUUGAGUAGGAGCAUAGCUGUUGGGACCCGAAAGAUGGUGAACUAUGCCUGAACAGGGUGAAGCCAGAGGAAACUCUGGUGGAAGCUCGCAGCGGUUCU
rnacentral:rRNA from 1 species